ensembl:lncRNA
GCAAUAGUUAAAAAGGUAUGUCGCUGCCAGAUAAUUAAAUUCGAUUCAAUUCAAUUUUCUUUGUAUAGCGCUUUUAGGAAUGGUCAUUGUCUCAAAGCAGAUUUACAGAAACAUAUAAACACAGAAUACAGAUUUCAAGUGUGUAAUUUUUUUUUCCCGUAAUGAGCAAGCUGGUGGUGACAGUGGCAAGGAAAAACUUCCUAAGAAGAUGGGAGGAAGAAACCUUGAGAGGAACCAGACUCAGAAGGGAACCCAUCUUCUGGGUCACAUUGGAUAGUGUGAAAGUGAGGCUAAAAGGAUAUCAUCGAUAUAUAUUGAAGAACCACUGAAUCUUUAACUGGACAAUCUGGUUCUGACAGAUGGCACCUUAACGCCUGAUGAUACAAUGUAGGGCUGUUGUGGAAACCCUGUUGGAGUCGUGUCCACUGAUACUGAUCAUCAACAAAGAAGAAAACUAACCAUGGCUGGAUAUCAGGAUAUAAAGGCACAGACCAAAAAAUCAUUAGCCAUAUCAAUGACUGAAAACACUUUGUAUGAAUUUGGAAUGCCAUCAAAAAUGGUGCUUGGGUCAGCUAAACGUGGUGGAAUACGAUCAACAGAGGUGUUAGCGACACAAUAAUCAACUGUCAAUUGCCAGAGGGAUUUUGGUGCACUUCCUGCUGUCUCAAUCUUUGGCCCACCUUUCCUUACAGGCCAAGAUGAGAAGAGGAGGAACUGCAUGCUCUGACAAGAGUGCCUCGGUUUACCAAAUCAGCAAUUAUAGGCUGAAUUCCAUCAAUAGCUUCCCUGGAAAUGGGGUACUGUUUCGUCAUGGGAGGGGGUGUACCUGUAAGAUGUACUGGUUCUAUGUCUAGUAGCCCACAGCCAUUCUUAUUCUUAGCCCAAAUAGGAUGAUUAGCAGUCAAAGGAUCUGACACCAGAACUGCAAGAACAGAGAAUUGAGGUUUGGGUGGUUCAAAAUCUAAUUGCAGGUGUAAUUGUGAAAUAACGUCAAUGCCCAAAAUAGGAGAGGUACAAAUCAGUGCUGCCAUAAGAGAGAUGCCAAGUGACUUAGGACCAAAACAUAAACAAAC